rnacentral:tmRNA from 1 species
GGGGGCGACGGGUUUCGACAGGAGCGAAUAAGACAGGGACUGCGAGCCGAGGCGCCGCUGGCCUCGUAAAAAGCGGCAAACCAACAAACGCCGAGAACAAUCUCGCGCUCGCUGCCUAAACGGCAGCCAUCUGGCCGUUCCCCGUCCGGUGGGAACGAACCGGGUGUCACCAAAGCCGGAUUACCUGAGCGGUCAGGGUACGCGGGCCGCCCGGGGACACUCAGCGACCUAGUGCCGGCGGAUCCCGUCUGCGGGAGCCAAAGGCGCGAAUUUUAAAGCGCAGACUACGCUCGUAGCAAGCCCUGGCAAGUUCCUCUUGGACGGCGGUUCGACUCCGCCCGCCUCCACCA